CUCCGCGUACUUGAAAUUAAAUGUGAAUUGAAAUAGCUGCAUGAAAUGUCAUUCACAAUGUGAAUUCUUGUUUAAGUUUGAAUUUUGAUUCAUGUAUCAAGUAGGGAUCUCUGUUUAGAUUGUGACUUAUUCAGGUUUUGGGUGCAGGUUGAUGGCAUCAGGUGGGCAGUGUGGAAAUCCCUUCAUUUGUUAAAGCUUGAGAAAACAUUGUCUUAAGGCCUUACUGGAAAACUCCUUCGGCCAUCUUCGGCUGUUUUCAGUGUAUUGGUACACAGCGGUGGGGUGCAUGGUGGACAUUACUAGGCCUUUAUCAGGCCGAUGCUUUCCAAUCAUUGUAUGGAAAAGUUGUGCAAGCUCUAAGAAGAGGCGACCUCCGACUUCUUCGGCAUGCUUUUCAAGAGCAUGAAGACAGGUUCUUUAGGUUUGCUGUAUAUCUUGUCCUAGAGAAGCUAGAACUUCAGGUCUAUCAGAGAUUGUUGAAAAAAGAUUUAUAUUAUCCAAAAGCAGAAGGACCCAAGAAAGC